rnacentral:rRNA from 1 species
UACGAAGGGGGCUAGCGUUGUUCGGAAUUACUGGGCGUAAAGCGCGCGUAGGCGGCGUACCAAGCCAGAGGUGAAAUGCCGGAGCUUAACUCCGGAACUGCCUUUGGAACUGGUGCGCUAGAGUGUCAGAGGGGAUAGUGGAAUUCCUAGUGUAGAGGUGAAAUUCGUAGAUAUUAGGAGGAACACCAGUGGCGAAGGCGACUGUCUGGCUGACAACUGACGCUGAGGCGCGAAAGCGUGGGUAGCAAACAGG